GUGUCAACUCCCCACCAAAACUUUACCGUAUCUUCUUUGCAUCUCCCCUUGUCUCCCUGUUCUUACAUUUUCGUAUACUGACAACUCAAAAAGAGUUUCCUAUAUAAACAUGGCUGAAUUUUUCAAUAAUCUAAACUUAUUCUCUUAUCAUGCUUCAUUACUCGAAUGCAACCAUCCAUCCAUUGCCCAAGAAAACCACCGCUCACUUCUGCUUUCCACCCACCAAACCUCAUUAUAA
rnacentral:lncRNA from 1 species